rnacentral:rRNA from 1 species
ACACGUAAGGGGCAAGCGUUGUUCGGAAUUAUUGGGCGUAAAGGGCAUGUAGGCGGUUUCGUAAGCCUGGUGUGAAAGGCUGCAGCUUAACUGUAGCAUUGCAUUGGGUACUGCGAGACUUGAAUCACGGAGGGGAAACUAGAAUUCCAGGUGUAGGGGUGGAAUCUGUAGAUAUCUGGAAGAAUACCGGUGGCGAAGGCGGGUUUCUGGCCGAUGAUUGACGCUGAGGUGCGAAAGUGCGGGGAGCAAACAGGAUUAGAUACCCUGGUAGUCCGCACCGUAAACGAUGUACACUAGGUGUAGGGGCAUGAGUCUCUGUGCCAAAGCUAACGUGAUAAGUGUACCGCCUGGGAAGUAUGCCCGCAAGGGUGAA